UGAAACAGUCUAAGUACUUAAAUGUUUAUGGUUAUUUAUGAAUUUCAUUUAUUCACAUUAUAUUAUUAUAGUAUUUAAUGCUGAACUUGCACAAAACCCAGGAGUGUAUCUCUGAAUCGUUACCAUUAACAACAGUCAAUGUCGUUUGAUCUACACAGCCCGUUGCUACCACCAUUAAGGCCUCAACUAAUCGAUACUUCAAGCUGAACUCUUGACAAAAUUGGCGCCAAUGUUCCCAAAGUUUAUAAAUGCCAGGUGCUUCUACGCAUAAAAACCCAAGCAAGUAUGUUGUUGUGAAUAGCGCAUAUAUAAACACUGGGCGAGGCAGCCACAAUCUUUUGUCCUCAAAUUAGGGACUACAGUAUUUAAUGCUGAACUUGCACAAAACCCAGGAGUGUAUCUCUGAAUCGUUACCAUUAACAACAGUCAAUGUCGUUUGAUCUACACAGCCCGUUGCUACCACCAUUAAGGCCUCAACUAAUCGAUACUUCAAGCUGAACUCUUGACAAAAUUGGCGCCAUUGUUCCCACAGUUUAUAAAUGCCAGGUGCUUCUACGCAUAAAAACCCAAGCAAGUAUGUUGUUGUGAAUAGCGCAUAUAUAAACACUGGGCGAGGCAGCCACAAUCUUUUGUCCUCAAAUUAGGGACUACAGUAUUUAAUACUGAACUUGCACAAAACCCAGGAGUGUAUCUCUGAAUCGUUACCAUUAACAACAGUCAAUAUCGUUUGAUCUACCGCCCGUUGCUGCCACCGUUAAGGCCUCACCAAAUCAAUACUUCAAGCUGGACUCUUGACAAAAUGGGCGCCACUGUUCCCAAAGUUUAUAAAUGGGAGGUGCCUCAUCGCAAACAAACUUAUACAAUUAAAAUGUUGUGAAUAGAACAUUUACAAACGACGGUUGAAGCAGCCACAAUCUAUCUUCUUCAAAGUAGGGACGACGAGUAAAUUGUAUCACCCGGCUAAUUUUGUUAUUUUAACUUAAUUAAUAAAUUAACCACAAAAUAAAUUUGAAAAUUAAAUUAUUUAAUGCUAAAGGCAAAUUAAUUCGAAACUCAAAA